CUGUGCCCACCUGUAAAAGGAUGCUAGGAUGGGUGUGAGACCACAAAGGCAAAAGAUAGAAUGUUCCAAAAGGAGAGCAAAACCUCCUUGAAAGCAAAGAGAGGGAGAGAAAAAUACACUGCGGGAUGAUGUGUACGUAAGUGCGUGAGAUUCCAAAGGGCAUUUCACAAGACUUAGCGUGCAAAUAAUAGCGACCUUAGGCUGAUGCGUUCUUGGUCUCGGAGUCUUUGGCUCUCUAGCAUCCAAGCCCACAACAAGAACAAGAAAAGCUAGUUCAGAGCCAGAAGAACUUCUGGGUGGCUGGUCUCUUCACUGAGGUAUUUAACUAUACCUGUGAUCUUUUAGUUUCUUUAGAUGGACAUGUCUAUGGAGUUAGUUUUCAUCUUCUUCCUUCCUUUUUCUCCUUUAGUGGUUUUUGAUGGAAAAUGCACCAAAAGCAAAGCAUUCUGUGUGGUGAAUUGCUAUGAAUCAAGGAAAUUUAAGUAGGAUAAUCUAGGUUCAUUUUGAUGAAAGCUCGCAAGCCUUGGGGUUCUUAUAGAUGUAAUAGGGGCCCAUCAUGCUUGCCAGUAACUAAAGCCAGACUCAAAUGACUCAUAAAUGCAGAAGAAGUAGAAGAAGAUGGAUCCAUAGGAAUUGUUAGAAACAAGCAGAUUGUUAAGCAUGUCUGGCCAGUCUCGAAAUUAUAUUCUAAAAAUAGUGCCUCAGGGAUUUUAUUUUUACUCCUUGUAUUAAACUUCUAAAAUGAGUGAAAAUAAAUCAUUUUCUUUGGUAUCCAUUUAGCUUCUGCAUCAUCUUCUAUCCUUUUAGCCAGCAACCAUAUUAAUCCACUGAGAUCUUAGCUUAUUUCAGUUCACUUUACCUUAUAAGAAAUGCUAGAAAGCAAGGCUGGCUCCUAUCUCUAAGGUUAAUGCCAGCAUGGUUCGUCACAUCAAAUGGACCCUCACACAACUCAUACUUGGUCUCCUCUUCCUGAGGUUUUGCUCUUUAUUAUAAACAAUAAGAAGUUCCAUUGCUUCUCCAUGAAUGACCUUUCCUAGAGCAUUUAUAUCCUACAAGAUUCAUAAGAAACACUUCUAUCACUUAUCUAUACAAUUCCACCCUCAUUUGCUUUCUUGCAAGGGAGAAACCUUGCAAUAGUAUAUUGAAUAGACUAGGAGGUAAGAAGUCCAAUUACUCUACAGUAGCAAUAGAAGGUGAGCUGUUCUUGCAUUGUUCAAAAAUCUUCACUCAAAAGAAUCAUUGAACCAAUGUGCUACGAUACUAUUGGCCCCCUUUUUGGACCGACAACCAUAUGGUUGUUAGCCAGAUUAACAAUAGAAAAGCAGUACUAGCUUAAUUCAGAAUUCUCACUUGGAGGAGUCUCUCGAGUGGCUCUGUGUUUUAUUGGUCCUUUAUGAACUGUCAACUAUACAGGCGGCUAACCAUAAGAGAAAUGGAUGGGCCCCAAUUAAGUGUAGGUGAGGGAGAAAAGCAGGGCUAUCCUAAGAGUAAGGGGGUUCAGCAGCCUUUAGUUCUGUUCCUCAAGGUUAGGUGCCCCUGUUGUGCUGAUGACAAAAUAGAGGUUAAAAUAUGUCCCUUGCGUUAAAGGCAAAGUGUAAGAUUUUGGCCCCAAAAUGUGGUGAUGGUGGGGUUGCUGGGAUACCAUCAUUUCUUUUGGAACAAGACUUCUUUGAUGCAGGAGGACUAUCAAAUCUGUUAUGAAUCAUUAGGCUACUCCAAGUAUAAUUAGAUCUAAGAGCAAGAUCUAUCAUAUCCAAUAUUGAUUUGUACAUCAAACAUUAUGGAAGGUAUAACUUUUAUACAUGGCAUCUACUUUGCAAUAUAUAUAUAUAUAGACAGAAAAGGAGAGAAAUAGAAGUUUUCCCAUUCCUCACCAAAUUUUAUUGAAACUUACAAUGUAAUUUUUAUAAGAUUAGGUAAUUCCAGGAUGUGACAAUCUAUUAAUAGGUUACUCACUUUGCGUGACCCCAUUCCAAGACCACUUAGACCUCUGAAAUAUCUAUAGAAUCAAAUUUUAUUAUUUUUUAAAAUUUUGGUUGGGCUUCGUCUUCUGAUCCAAGAGGAAUUAUGUUGCAAUAGAAGAUAAAAUUGUUGUAGGUCUAUCUUUAGGAAGAUUCUAGCUAGAAGAGAACUUUGACUUGGAUUCUAAAAGGACAAAACCUCACUACUACAAAUAUAUGAGCUAUGUAAUAGUGUUAAUUAUUUUUAAUAAAAAAGCUUACAGCCUAGUUUUAGAUAUUUCUAAUAUUUUUAUUAUUUUACUCUAAAAUAUUCGAGUUAAAUAUGUUGACAAAAACUCUUUCUUCUCUUCGAUUGGAUUAGUCUUUCAGAUAGAAAAAUAUGUCAAUCACAUGAGUUAAAGCUGAUUAGCUAUAGCUUGGCAUUGCAUUCACCGUUAUAGAAAACUCAAAUUUGUAAACUAAUUUAUAUUUAACUCAAGUGGGUAUAUAAAUUCAUAAAUUUCCACAAGUAAGCUAUGAUCGGAAACAUAAGGAUUGUUAAUACCUAAAGAAUAAAUACUUAUUUGACUAGACAUCACAUGGCAUGCAACCCUUGCAGUCAAGAUGUAGUGCAAUAUUUUGAGAAACUUACUAAAUUUAAAAUAUCAUGUAUUAAGUUAUCCUUGUGACACGAUGAUAAUUUGUACUUAUGUCCCUCCUCUUAAAAAGUAAUAUAUAUAUUGAUACUUGGGACAAAUAAUCUUGCAUUAUUUAGCUCAUUAUUGAAAUGCUUAGUGUAUAUUAUUUUUUAAGGUUUGAUCAAAUAUUAGAGAAAUACUUUCUCCAGAAAAAGCAUUUUGUAAAACAUAUUUAUACCAUAGAAUUGUUUUAAUUAAAAUAAAUUUAUCGAUUUUUUUUGGCAAAAUAGUAGUGCUAAUAAUAAUUCAUGUAAUGUUAACAGAUCACUUUCUUUUUACUUAGUGUAUCCGCUGUUGUUCGCUGUUGUACCUCUCAAGUGUUUGUCUCACAUUCUUAGCAGCAACCCUGUAUGACCAAUAGAUUACAACAUAUUACGUCAGUGUGAAGUCACUAGAACACCUAGAAAUGGUUUUGAUCAUCUUACAGUCGCUAGAAAUAGUUCUAACCAUGCUAAAUCAUUUCAAAGUGUGAUUUUUUUUGGUAAAAAUCUCAAAGUGUGAUUUAAUAAUGCAGUCAAGGUCACGUUUUAAUGAAAAUAGAGGAGAAAGACGUAUGAAAUAUGGAGAACAAUAAAUACAAGAAAAAAUUUUUAUUCUAGAGAUUUAAUUCUAUAUCAAAAAUAGACUACCUACAAUAUUGGUUGUAGGCUUUAUUUACACAAAAAAAAGCCUAACUUGAUGCUUAAGCUAUCUGAAAUAUUUUAGGUUUAUUCUGAAUACAAAAAAGAUAAAAAUUAAAACUUCCAACUUGCUUAGGAUCUUUCGGACUCUUGUUGAUCUGUCAAAUGAAAGAAUUUGGCUCCAAAACUAGGCUAUAAUGGCAAAGUGGUUGGCACAUAGAGGAUGAAAAAAACUUUCCAAAUUAGAAUUUUAUAGAUAAUUGUAAUACCAUAUGAGAGAUUUAUGUCCAUUUUAGCAUGGUAAGAUCAAAACCACAGGCAUAAUCAAUCUGAUUUCUUAUCUUUCAGGCCCAGUCCAUCAAAUUAAGGUAUUUACCAACUAAGGUAUCUACGUCAUCUUCCUCAGGUUGAAAAGAACUUGCCUUCGAGUUAGAAAUCUCCUUUUUCUCUAACAAAUCACCUAUAUAGGGAACCAAGUAUUUUACAUUGAACACAUCAGAUAUACGAAGAUGACUAGGUAAUCAACCGCACUUCUUAGUGUUAGCAUAUAACUUCUCCCUCAUCAGUGGGUCAAGAACCUCCAUAAGAUACUACAGGUGAGCUUCCAAAGUAAGGCUAUAAACGAGAAUAUCAUCGAAAUAAAUAACAAUAAUUUUAUCGACAUAAGAUUGCAACACAUGGUUCAUCAACCUCAUGAAAGUACUUGGUGCAUUGGAAAGUCCAAAUGGCAUCACCAGCCACUCAUACAGGCCCUCUCUCAUCUUGAAGACUAUCUUCCACUCAUCCUCAGGCCGAAUGCACAACUAAUGAUAGCCACUCUUCAGGUCAAUCUUUGAAAAGUUCUUGGCUCUAGCAAGCUGAUCAAGCAUAUCAUCUAGCCUCAAAAU
rnacentral:lncRNA from 1 species